UACGAAGGGUGCAAGCGUUACUCGGAAUUACUGGGCGUAAAGCGUGCGUAGGUGGUGAGUUAAGUCUGUCGUGAAAGCCCCGGGCUCAACCUGGGAAUGGCGAUGGAUACUGGCUCGCUAGAGUGCGGUAGAGGAGAGUGGAAUUCCCGGUGUAGCAGUGAAAUGCGUAGAGAUCGGGAGGAACAUCAGUUGCGAAGGCGGCUCUCUGGACCAGCACUGACACUGAGGCACGAAAGCGUGGGGAGUAAACAGG
rnacentral:rRNA from 1 species